rnacentral:rRNA from 1 species
GUCCUACGGGACGCAGCAGUGGGGAAUAUUGCACAAUGGGGGGAACCCUGAUGCAGCGACGCCGCGUGGGCGAUGGAGUAUUUCGGUAUGUAAAGCUCUAUCAGCAGGGAAGAAAAUGACGGUACCUGACUAAGAAGCCCCGGCUAACUACGUGCCAGCAGCCGCGGUAAUACGUAGGGGGCAAGCGUUAUCCGGAUUUACUGGGUGUAAAGGGAGCGUAGACGGCGCGGCAAGUCUGAAGUGAAAGGCAGGGGCUUAACCCCUGAACUGCUUUGGAAACUACCAUGCUAGAGUGCUGGAGAGGG